GCUGGCUUAGCUCAGUCGGUAGAGCAUCUCACUUGUAAUGAGAAGGUCAUCAGUUCGAUUCUGAUAGCCAGCUCCA
rnacentral:tRNA from 3 species